rnacentral:lncRNA from 1 species
UCAUCCCGGCCGCGCGCCAGGAAGGAGGCUCGGCCUCCUCCUCCUCCGCCCGUGCGCCAGGAAGGAGGCGUCGACCUCCCCCUCCCUGCCGCUGGCCGGCCGCCUCCUCCUCCUCCUCCUCCUCCCGGACGUGCGCAAGGAAGGAGGCGCCGGCCUCCCCCUCCUCUCGGUCGCCGCCGGCCUCCUCCACCACGGCCUCCGUCGUCCCGCCAUGGCCGCUGGCACAAUAGCCUCCCCAUCUCCUAUUUCUUAUGGUUUUGGUCAAAUUAGAUAUGGAAGUGGUGAAUUUCGGUUGUGUGUGAUGAAAUUGAAUGAAAAUAUGUGAAAUUUGAUGAUGGUUUGUCAAUUUGGAUGGAGAAAUUUGAAAGAAGAUGAAAUAGGGGCCGGAAAUUAGG